GGGGUACCGGGGCCGGGGACACCGGGACCGGGUCACACACAGGCGGCGGCGGCUGGCCCCCAGCCAGGUGGGACCCUGCCAGCGCGCGGAUGCCUGAGCUGCCGCCCCGCUGCCCUGCUCCUGGCUACCCGGCACCAGUUCUUCAGUGGCAAGCUUUAUGUCCUCUUCUAGUAGCUAAAGCUGCCAGUUGAAGAACUGUUGAAUGUAGCCACUCUCUUCUCGCCACCGAGGCGCUGGACGUCGGCUGCGCCUGUGCCCCGAGAGACC